rnacentral:rRNA from 1 species
GACAGAGGCCUCGAGCGUUAGGCGGAAUCACUGGGCUUAAAGCGUGUGUAGGCGGGCCCGUAAGUGUCUUGUGAAAUCCCACGGCUCAACCGUGGAACUGCUGGGCAUACUGCGGGUCUGGGCCAACUAGGGGCAGCCGGAACAAGCGGUGGAGCGGUGAAAUGCGUAGAUAUCGCUUGGAACGCCGGAAGGUGAAAACAGGCUGGCUGGGGUUG